rnacentral:lncRNA from 1 species
AACAAAGUUGGGAGAUUAUAUAACUAUUUUAGAAAGCCCAAACGGCUAUUUCUGCAGGCCAACGACCCUUUUUUAAAUGCUGCAACGACCAAAAAAAUGUGGAUCUUUUUUUUAAAAAAAAGUAGUCGUUGGGCCCGUUUGAGCCCAUUUAGGACCGGUUGAACCGACCCACUUAGAACCUGGUCUCGGGCCCAAACGGUCCCGGUCCCAACGGGCUUCUUCAAUGAACCGACCCACUUGGGCCUCAAACCCCCGGUCACAGGCUUAAAUUGGUAGGCCCGUUUAGGCCCACUACCCAUAUGGGCUUGCGGGCCUGGACCAGGCCUAACUGGCCCACUUGCCACCCUUACAUAGAAUCCAGGUUCCAAAUGCCCGCUUCUAAUAAAUCUCUUGUAAUUUUGGAUGAAUCUUUUGACCUAUAUGUUGACAUGACCUCUCU